rfam:Rattus norvegicus chromosome 18, whole genome shotgun sequence.
GGGGAUUUAGCUCAGUGGUAGAGCGCUUGCCUAGCAAGCACAAGGCCCUGGGUUCGGUCCCAGCUCCG